rnacentral:lncRNA from 10 species
CAAGUAAUUACCAUUUCAAAAGACAAACUCUUACUGCUCCACUUCUAAUAAUUGAUUGAAACAAUGAUAGAUCAGUAAGCUUUUAAAUGUCCCUACAAUUGAACAGAAUUCUUGAAUUGUGCACUCAAAAAAUUAAGAUUAUUAAGGGCUUUUCAGUAAAACAAACAAGAAUUAACCAUUGAAGAAAACUGUAAAAACUCAUGUACAUUGUAAAAAUAUUGAAUUUAUAGGCUGCUAUCUAAACACGUCCUUUAUUUGUCCACAUUACUUAACUAUCAAUGUGGAAAAUGUGAUUCUUUCUCAACUCUUUUAUGCUUUCAUAAAAUGUCUUAUUAAUGUAUCCCAAAGACAGUAAUUUCUACCAUCCUCAACUCUCUUAAUCUCUUCUCAAAAUGUAUAUUUUAUUCUUUGGAAGGAAAUACUUUUGCAUUUAAGAUUUACAAGAUUGGUUUCAAAAGACAACAUUUAAAUGCCAACCCAGUGGGAUUUAGUGAGCUGAUGGCGGCUCAGUUCUUUCUACUGGGAAAGUCAUCCUUGGUGGAUACAUAUGGCAAACUCCUGCUCAACCCUUGAGAAGGGGUUCAGAUUUUACUCCCUUCAUGAAAUUUCCAUAGCCAAAAGUAGCUUUCCUGUGUUCCUCAGUUGCACUCUUAAUAUACUGUGUUGUCUCAUUUUUCACUAUUAUCACCUGAAGUUAUUUUCUCUGUCUUCCCUACAGGGUCAUGAAUGGUUCCUAGCAUGAAGAGGAUGUUCAAGGAAGGCUUAUUGAAUGAAUGAAUGAAUGAAUGAAUGUUACCUAAGUUCUCAGUUUUAGUGUGUGUUUAACCAUAGCGUGUUGCCUUUCUUAUCCAAGCCACAUAACUAGUGUGUGGCAUGUUGGCAUUAGAGGAAAAAAAAUGAAGAUUUUCUCUUCUGUGAAAGGAGGUCACUCUCCUAUGUGUGUGACGGAUGUAAUGCUGAGUCAGUUGUAUAUUUAAUUGUUGGAUUUACAAUCUUUCUUUAAAAUGCCACCUGAAUGUAGAGUGAACACCCUUGAAGACCCAUCUGCACUGUUGCAAUACAUUCUGCACCUGGGUUUUUGUUUUCUUUG